rnacentral:sRNA from 1 species
GGUGUUUUGAAACAUAAAAGAUUGCACCCUUAUGUGUGCUUUGUGUUGAAAGGAGCCCACGCAGCCAACAGCAGCAGGAACAAAUGGCCUGCUCUGAUGGGGACGGGCAGGAAGUCCUUCAGGGCAUUUCUGUUUCAUCACAGCUUUUCCUGGGGCUGGUGAGUCUGUUGGGCCUUUGGCUGACAGGGAAGCGCAUGAGCCCAUGUUGCUGGAUGCAAAGCGUCUGGGGCCUGGCAGAAUCCAGAUAGGGGAAGAAGGUGGCCCCAGGAACUGGCUUAUUUUGUGACCCCCCAGAGAGCAGUGUGGCUGACCCAUUAGUGCUACAAGUCCAUAGCCAGGCCUCAGGACAGCUUUUGGUUUUGUUUUUAUUAAGCCACUGACCAGUGGUUAGGAGCAAGUGAUCACAACCUUAACAUUUUUAUGGAAAAUUGGAGCCUUGACCUGGGGAUAACGUGAAACCCACGAGCUGCACGUUUCUCUGUAGACUGCAUCUGGACACCUGUCACGUUGCCGACUGGGUCUGACAGUCAUCGCCAGGACUGCCUGGGCCUGUGUUCAUUCCCAGUCAAUGAGUCCUGGGACACAGACGUCCCGGACUCGUGCCUGGUGCCAGGCCUCGUGCCUGCCCAAGGAUGCAGACACACCCGCCAUCAUCAUGCAAGUGCCAGGAGCUCUUCUCAGCACUUACGUGUGGGAACUCGAGUAAUCUCACACCCUAGGAGGUGGCACUACUGUCACCCCAGUGUGCAGAUGAGGAAUCAGAGGCCAGAAAAGGGGGUGACCUCACUCACACAGCAAGCAUGUUGCAGAGCUGGAGUCCAGGCCAUCAUUCUGAACCUGCCCCUGGCUGGGCCAUUGUACCUUGUCACCUCUCUGCAGAAGCUGGGCCUCCUCCCCUACAUCAGGCCCCCCGUCUGGCCAGCGCUCUUCCCCCACUGCCCCAGGCCACCUGCUGUGCCUGUGAGGGCUGUGUGUGAGCACUCUCUGGAGCGCCGCUCAUUCUCUUGUCUCUCCCCCUGCGUCCUGCCAGGAAGCUGAUCAGUAUCUCCUUUGGGGACCUGAACCCUUUCCCGCUACGCCAGAUCCGGAACCGACGCGCCUACCACUUGGAGAAGGUCCGGCUGGAGCUGACUGAGCUGGAGGCCAUCCGUGAGGACUUCCUGCGUGAGCGGGACACCAGCCCUGACAAGGGUGAGCUGGUCAGUGAUGAGGAGGAGGAUACCUGAGUGGGCUCCGGGACGCUGCUCUUCCUGCCUUCACAACCAAAGUGUGCCCAAAGGGUGAAAGCACGCUUAAAAGCCAGAAUGUAAAGCGUGUGGCCUCUGGGGAUCUGCUGGGCAGAUGUCCCAAGCCAGGCUGCACUUCCUCAUUUCCCACUGUGCGGGGGCAGGGGUGGGAGGUCUAAUCUGUUUACAGCCAUUUCCGUGCCAUGCUUUUGGUUACACAUAUCUCAGUCACGCUUUCUGCCUGAUGGGUGGAUGCUCGGGCUUACCAGUGGCUAUUUGCAAGAGCCUGUUUCCAGCCUCCAUCAGCCUGUCGGUGCUCUGACCCUCUGAAACUUUGCUUUGCUGGGCAUCUCCCCAUGUUCUCUGGCCUUGGUUGAGGGGAUGGAGGAAUGUUUUCUGGGGUGCUUUGCAGGACAGUGGUGCAGCUGCAGCGUGAACGCUUUUGGACAGCUGAAAACCGUGGCCUCCUUGCGGAUGGCCAGUGCUCCUGGUGUCUCCUCCACCUGACUAGGUUGUGCAGGACGCCAGCUGCCAGUGCCUGGGGAACUUUUUUGCUUGGGGCCCAGGCUUGGGUGAGCUCUCCCAGAUGUGUGCCCACCCCACCACUGCCUGGAAGCAUCCUUGUUCUCUGCCAGGAUGCAGGGUCACUGUUGCCUCUGACAUGGCAGUUUCUGGGAACUCAGAUGACUGCCUUUCUGAAGGCUGGGGAGAGGCUUUGAGCAAGGAGCUUAUUUUUGCUUAAUCCCUCUAGACCAUCCCUGAUGCGUAGAUGUGAGAGGAUGUUUUCUGGCACAGUGUUAUGAAAAUACAAGAGAAACGGUCUCAGUGGAAUGUUUCAUAUCACCUGAAAAAAAAUGGAAAUCAUCCUUUGUUGAUAUAAACACACUGAGACUAAAAAUUGAAGCAAUGCAGUUUUAAGAAGUACUUUUUUCCUAUUUUUUUGCUGUCAACUUUCUAGCAAUGCCACAGCGAAGUUGGCGUUUCAGCACACGCUAGGCUGAGCUCCGGCUUCACGUCUUUAGUGGAGUUGGUUAAUGUUUCACUGGGUAGAGGGAGCUGGCCUCUAUAUUUAGCCAGAAGCCUUUGCCUCUUUUCAGGCAUCAAAAAUGGGUUUUGUCAUUGCCUUUGAGAACAGCAGUUUGAGGUCUGACUCCUUCAGUUGUCCUGUGUGCUGGGCAUUGCAGUCAGCUUGAAUCAAGUGUUGGAACCCCCCAACCCCUCAGCCAAUCGUGAAAUGACAGCUGUCAGCCUGGGGGGGUGGCUGCUGAGGAGGUGCAGCAGGAAUGGGGCUGGGCCCGUGGGCCAGCACUAGCUGCCGUCAGGUUUUACUUUCCAAGCCAAUGGCCCCUGGAACAUGCCAGCACACACUGCCAUGUCCUGGGGCUAAGAGCUGCCUUUAGGGACAGGCUCGUGUCGUCCAGUUUGCCCUGAGAGAUGCACCUGACCAGAGGCCCAUCAUGGCUGCAACCCACAGUGGUAUGUUAGUGUUUCCAGGCAGUUGUCAGCAGCUGCUGGGCAGUGUGUGUGUGACAGCAGGAGAGUUCCUGGAGGAAAGGGACUGGGGACACUUUCUCAGAGGUUCUCUUGCCUGGAAUCAAGUGAUGCGUGUCCAGAAGGCAAGAGAGGGUGGCUCCGCCUGGUUAAAGUUUGGGAACAGAAUGGAGCCAACUCCUCCUUCCAGGACUGUGGGCCCCACUCUUUCGCGCUAACACUUCCCCUCCCUCACGUCACUGAGGAAAGAGCUGCUCUGUCCCCUCCAGUGCCCUGAAGGUCCCUGGCCUCCAUUGGCUGCCAUGGCAGGGGACCCUUCUGGCAGGGGCUGCCCCACGCUGCUGUUCCUCCUCCGAACCUUCACCCCAACACCCAGCCCGUGGUCCCUGCAAGGGGGAACCUUGCCAGCUGGGAAACCCAAAGCCUGUCCAAAUGCACGCACGAGGACCGAGGGGAGCUCCCUCCCCACACCUGCAGCAAAUUGCCAACUUUUAAAUGGAUGGGGUUUUUUAUGGGUUGAACCUGUGUUAAUACUUUUGUACACUUUCACUACAGUUUAUAUUUUUAUAGGCUAUUUUCUCAAAGUGUUUCUAGAUUCCACAUAUCUAUUUUAUGUAACAAGUUUUUAUGUUAUGUGUGUGACUUCCUUGUGUGUAUCUGUGCCAGCCUCAGCCUCCGAGUUGCUCUUCCCUCUGGCCCUGACUCUCACUGACUCACCGAUGUGAUGUGCGGGCCCACUUCUUACCCCAGGUAGCCUCGGGCACUGCCUGUAGUCAUGCUGACAGCUGUACAGUAGCCGCCAAGACUGCUGAUGGCUGGAGACGGUUCUGGUUUCAACUACGGUAUAUUGAUAUCGGAAGUAUUCUAGACGGAUCCUCGGUUGGGUUUUCUAACUACGUUUGUAUUGCACACAUCCCCACCUGCCAUCCUAUAGUGUUGUCUUCCUGUGUGUUCCGGGGCUUCUGGGCAGCUGCGCCUGCUCAGGGAAGUCCUUGCAGGUGGGAGGCCAUGCAGAGACCCAGUGUGUGCCACUGAGCGUCCCACCGCUGCUGGGCAACUGGAGGACUGCAGGGGGCGCCAGUGACUCUCUCCUUUCAUAUCACAGCAGCUCCUGUGCUGACCUUCAAGUUACGUUUUGGAACUGUAAUACUAAAGGAAGAAAUAAACUACUAAUUUGUAUAA